UCCGAAUUGGUGUAAUGGUUAACAUCCUACGUUUUCAGUCAUAAAGCCGUGGAGCUCGGGGUUCGAUUCCCCGAUUCGGAG